rnacentral:tRNA from 1 species
GCCAGUGUGGCAUAGUGGUUUGAGUGCUGGACUAUGACUUUGGAGACAAGGGUUCAAUUCCCAACUCGGCCA